rnacentral:tRNA from 1 species
GCCCUCAUGGUCAAGCGGUCAAGACGUCGCCCUCUCACGGCGGAAUCUAGGGUUCGAUUCCCUAUGGGGGUACCA